rnacentral:lncRNA from 1 species
CACACAGUUGUAAAAUGGCGUAUAUGGCGCAUCUUACAUCAUGUGAAUUUUUUUAACCUUAAAAAAAAAGAUCCAUGUGUAGCUUUGCCAUUGGUUUCUGCCUUAUAUGUGUUGGAAUCCGCCCCCCCCGCUUCUUUUUUGCAAAUAUGUGGGAAAGCUGAAGGGGAGAGGGUUAAUAUUUUCACACACUCACCCCUCCCCCACAUGCAUACACUAACAGCUGCCAUGUAUGAUUUUGUGGAAUUUGAUAUUUUGAACGAAAUGACUUCCUUAUUUUCCAUAGUAAUAUAAUAAUCAAUUUUACCAUAGAGAACUGUGUACAUGUCAAGCCUUGGCUGCCCCUAAUUAGCAAUGGAUGGGGAGCAGGGGAAAGAGCUGAAGAGCAGUUUUGAGUGAAAAGCCAGCCAUCGAGUUUUAACCAUUCUUUCUUGCCUCAGCCAAGGCAGUUCUCAAUCUGCUUGCAUUCUGACCGAAGUUUUGAUUUGUGGUGAUCUGCGAAAAUAUCUACACAGACACGAGCACAUGUAACUGAGACAGGCCUGUCUGUUGUUGCUUUUUGUCUUUUAUCUCCUCUCCAUAGUAAUUUUUAUACAGUCUACAGCUUCGUAAAAUAGAGGCAAAAGUCAGAAGCCACCGACAUAGAAUAUUCUCUGCCUUAAGUGGCACCUGUGUUUUGUUGUCAGAAAGGUGCAUUUCUUUCUUUCUCUUCUUUUUUUUUUUUUCUUUUUAGGGCUGAAUCUGCGGCACAUGGAAGUUCCCAGGGUGGGAGUCACAUCAGAGCUGCAGAUGUUGACCUACGCCAAAGCCACAGCCACAGCCACAGCAAUGCCAGAUCCAAGCUGCCUCUGCGACCUACACCUCAGCUCCUGGCAACACCAGAUCCUCAAUCCACUGAGCGAGCCCAGGGAUCAAACCUGAAUCCUCAUGGAUACUAGUCGGGUUCCUUACUGCUGAGCCACAGUAGGAACUUCGGAAAGGUGUAUUUCUUAUGGCACCAGAAACGUCCAUCCACUUUCUCAAAUAAAUAAUUAUACAGUACGCUUAUAAAGUUCCAGCCAUACAAUUCUCAUUUACUCAAGGAAUUUAAAAGGAUUAAACAGCACACAUUCCCAGUACACACACAGAAAUAUAUACCUCAUACUCCACAAGGAAUCACUUAGCAUAUUCUACUAAGGUCUCUGUUCCCAUAGGCUUAGAGACUGUUAUAAAUUCAAGUGAGUCGAAUAGGUAUUUGUUCAGUGCCUCUAAUUUGCAGGGCACCGAGCCAGACAGACAUUCAGGAAUUUGAAAGAUUUUAGAAUGUGGAUGAUGUCUUCAAGGUGCUUAUAAUUUAGGAGGCAAGAGUCAUUGCCAGCCAACCUCACCUGGCUUUCUAGAGCAGAGACUGUACAUACUCUGAGGCAGGUCUUGCCGCAAAAAAUAUUUAUUGAACUCUGUGAAAGAUGCUUCAGUAGAGCCAAGAAAUAUUGAUUGAUUGCCCACUGCGUUUGUGACCUUUGGCAGACUGAUAAAAAGUUCAGUCUUUAUUCUUAAGUGCAAUUUAAGACAGAUAGCCAUGCUGUUAGUAGUGACAAAAACAGUGUCGCAGUGGUUAACGAAUCCGACUAGGAACCAUGAGGUUGCGGGUUCGGUCCCUGCCCUUGCUCAGUGGGUUAACGAUCCGGCAUUGCUGUGAGCUGUGGUGUAGGUUGCAGACGCGGCUCGGAUCCCGAGUUGCUGUGGCUCUGGCAUAGGCCGGCAGCUACAGCUCCGAUUAGACCCCUAGCCUGGGAACCUCCAUAUGCCGCGGGAGCGGCCCAAGAAAU